rnacentral:rRNA from 1 species
UACAGAGGUCUCAAGCGUUGUUCGGAUUCAUUGGGCGUAAAGGGCGCGUAGGCGGCGGGGUAAGUCUGGUGUGAAAUCUCGGAGCUCAACUCCGAAAUUGCACUGGAUACUGCUCUGCUUGAGGGUUGGAGAGGAGAUCGGAAUUCACGGUGUAGCAGUGAAAUGCGUAGAUAUCGUGAGGAAGACCAGUGGCGAAGGCGGGUCUCUGGACAGUUCCUGACGCUGAGGCACGAAGGUCAGGGGAGCAAACGGG